rnacentral:rRNA from 1 species
UGGCGAGUGGCGAACGGGUGAGUAAUAUAUCGGAACGUGCCCAGUCGUGGGGGAUAACGCAGCGAAAGCUGUGCUAAUACCGCAUACGAUCUCUGGAUGAAAGCGGGGGACUCAGCAAUGGGCCUCGCGCGAAUGGAGCGGCCGAUAUCACAUUAGCUAGUUGGUGGGGUAAAGGCUCACCAAGGCGACGAUCCGUAACUGGUCUGAGAGGAUGAUCAGUCACAUUGGAACUGAGACACGGUCCAGACUCCUACGGGAGGCAGCAGUGAGGAAUAUUGGUCAAUGGGCGAGAGCCUGAACCAGCCAAGUCGCGUGAAGGAAGAAGGUUCUAUGGAUUGUAAACUUCUUUUGCAGGGGAAUAAAGUUCGCUACGAGUAGCGAUUUGUAAGUACCUUGCGAAUAAGGAUCGGCUAACUCCGUG